GAAGCGGUGGCUCAAUGGUAGAGCUUUCGACUCCAGUUAAAUCCUGGUUUAUAGGAAACAAUUGCAAUCGAAGGGUUGCAGGUUCAAUUCCUGUCCGUUUCA
rnacentral:tRNA from 1 species